GCUAGUUCUAUAGAGAAUUAAAAGAGUAAAUAUUAUAGAGAUAACAAAUUAGAUGAAUAACAAAUUUUCCACUAGAAAUACUAUUUGGAAUAAAUCAGUUUCAUAACUCCCAAAAAAAGACAGAAAUGCAUACAUCAGUCAAUGACCCUCUCCUGAGCAUUAAAGGAGUAAAAUGGACUUGAAAGCUUCAACUUUUGACUUGCAUUUACUUCUGUCCCCUCUGUUUUCCUCCAUACAUUUCUUCAGAGCUUCAUCCACAGUAGUAGUAGUACUCUUGGCUUUCUCUGUUGCACCACUCUCUCUCUCUUCUCCUCAUCCAUUGCUCACAAUCCAAGAAAAUUCCAAAGAAAUCAAACAAUCUUUCUAGUCUUUUUAUAUAAAAUCUGUAGAGCUUCCCUUGAAUCCUUAAUUAUUUUCAAGAGAAUUGCAAGUCAUUGCUGUCUAGUAAGACAUGAAAAUAGACAUGAACAUAAGACAUAAGCAGAAUAAACUGUAGGAUUACCGGAAAGCCCAGAAGAUACUCCCCGAACAAGAGUAUAUAACUAUUCAUUCAUAACCAAGUACUUAAGUGAGUCAAGAUGGUCAAUAUAUAACCACUGCAAAAAACAUAAUAAUUAAAAAGAUUCAGCAAGAAACUGAAUAAUUAAUUUGUGUUGGAUCCAAAGAAUCGGAUGACUGUUUUUAACAUUAGAAAUAAAUUUACAUUAUAGAUUACCAAUUAGAAUUAGUUCUCCAGAUCAUGAUCCUUUCUUAGUCUACUUAAAACACUAUAAUUCACACAUCAUACUACUUAACAAUAUUAGGCAAAUUCCAACAAUACAUAAAUAAGCAUAACCGCCCAUGUCUUCUAUAGUUCAAUAGUUUUAUGUAACAGCAAAGAAGUUCAAUAGAUUCAAGGAAGAAAGUACAAAAACCUAAACCCUUACCCGUUCGUUUUCAAUAGAUGUUCAACAGAGACAGAGACGACGGAGGCUCUGGCCGGAGAGAGAGCCGCGGAGAUUUUGCAGACCAGAGCUUCGUUCGGCGACGAUGGUAGAAGAGAGAGUCGCUCUGGAUAGAAGAGAGAGGCGCGAUCCUGAAAUUGGGGGAGGAAACCGGAUUUAUUUUUUGACCCCACCAGUAAGAAGAUCCGCG
rnacentral:lncRNA from 1 species